rnacentral:rRNA from 1 species
AUUGAACGCUGGCGGCAUGCUUUACACAUGCAAGUCGAACGGUAACAGGGUGCUUGCACUGCUGACGAGUGGCGAACGGGUGAGUAAUGCGUCGGAACGUGCCGAGUAGUGGGGGAUAACGCAGCGAAAGUUGUGCUAAUACCGCAUACGUACUGAGGUAGAAAGUGGGGGACCUUCGGGCCUCACGCUAUUCGAGCGGCCGACGUCUGAUUAGCUAGUAGGUGAGGUAAAGGCUCACCUAGGCGACGAUCAGUAGCGGGUCUGAGAGGAUGGUCCGCCAAACUGGGACUGAGACACGGCCCAGACUCCUACGGGAGGCAGCAGUGGGGAAUUUUGGACAAUGGGCGAAAGCCUGAUCCAGCCAUGCCGCGUGUCUGAAGAAGGCCUUCGGGUUGUAAAGGACUUUUGUCAGGGAGGAAAUCCCUAGUGCUAAUAACACUGGGGGAUGACAGUACCUGAAGAAUAAGCACCGGCUAACUACGUGCCAGCAGCCGCAGUAAGAC